GAAAAUGAUAAUAAACUUAAAAAUGGUGCUAAAAGUCAAAGCCAGCAAGAAAAUAAUUUAGAAUCGGAGGAAAAAAGUGCAAUGAAUUUGAGAUAGCAGGUAGGCGGAUAUUUGACGUUGAAUAUUUAUUUAAACAAUUUUUAAAUGGGGAACGGCAUAAACCGUUUGACUGCACUCUUGUGGAUAUGGAAUUGAUUAAAGAAAAGAGCAACGGAUUAUAUAGUGAAUUUACACUAAAAUGUAAAAUGUGUAACCUCACUAAAGUAAUUUCAAAUGAAGAAAAUAAAUCUCAACAACUUGAACUAAAUUCUUCAAUGGUUUUAAGCAUAUCUACCGGACUAGGCUAUUCACAAAUUAAAGAAGUAGCCACUUCCAUGAAUAUACCAUUUAUGUCUUAUAAAACGUUUAGCAGCCACCAUGAGAAAGUGGGUUAUUUGAUUAGGGAAUCCGCAUGGAAGAGUAUGGAAGAAGCUGCCGCUGAAGAAGCUAGAAUCGCAACCAUUGAAGGCGAAGUGGAUAAAGAUGGAAUUCCAUGUAUUACCGUAGUGACCGAUGAGGCUUGGGCAAAGAGAUCCUACAAUGUCAAUUAUGAUUCUUCUUCUGGAGUGGCAUGUAUAGUUGGCUAUAAAACAGGGAAGUUGUUAUUUCUGGGAAUAAGAAAUAAAUUUUGUUCGUUAUGUUCCUGGUACGAAAAUAAAAAAAAGAUGUUCCAAUAUAUAAGUGUCAUAAGAACUGGAACGGUACAUCUACAUCGAUGGAAGCUGACAUAGUAUUGGAGGGCUUUAAAAGAAGCAUUACAAUUUAAAAUUUACAAAAAUGAUUGGUGAUGGAGAUUCCUCGGUCCACCGAAAACUAUUGCAAUCAAAGCUCUAUGGUAAUAUGUUGGUGCAAAAGGUGGAGUGCAGGAAUCAUUUGUUGCGAAAUUUUGCCAAGAAAAUUCGAGAAAUUUGUAGUAUGUAUAUUUUAUAUUUUAAUACAAGUAUACAGAGUGUCCUACUUAAAAUGAUAUACAUGGGGAAAUCGAGAGCAUGAUUUGGUAGAAGUUAAAUGCCCAUUUAGCAUUGCCAACAUGACUCCAACCGAAGCAAUAUUAUCAAAAAAGAUUACAUUCGCUACAUUGGAAAAUAACCACCUACAUUUGAAAAAAACCACAAUUAUUACUACCAAGUUCAGGGGCAGUUAGCUAUAGCUAACAAGAAAUCAUGCUAUUUUAUUAUUUGGAGCCCUCUUGGCAUGUUAGUUGAACAGAUUGGCCGUGAUGAACAAUUUUGGGAGGAACAAAUGUUACCAAAAUUACAAGCCUUCUACUUCCAUUUUUUAUUACCAGAAAUAGUCGACCCGCUUUAUCCAAAAGCGCUGCCUAUCAGAACUUAAAAUUCUUCCGUUGGCGGAAAACCUGUCAACUGAAUCGAUGCAGAAGCUAAUGUAAUAUAUAUAUUUUUUUAAUUUAUUUCCUAAUAUGUAAAAACCUUAAUAAAUAUGUAUAU